rnacentral:rRNA from 1 species
GACGUAGGGCGCGAGCGUUGUCCGGAUUUAUUGGGCGUAAAGAGCUCGUAGGCGGCUUGUCGCGUCGAAUGUGAAAUCUCAGGGCUCAACUCUGACAUUGCAUUCGAUACGGGCAGGCUCGAGUUCGGUAGGGGAGACUGGAAUUCCUGGUGUAGCGGUGAAAUGCGCAGAUAUCAGGAGGAACACCGGUGGCGAAGGCGAGUCUCUGGACAUUUCCUGACGCUGAGGCACGAAAGCCAGGGGAGCAAACGGG